GGCGUUGUAGCAAAGUGGUUACUGCGAUUGACUCGAAUACGCUCUAUCGUAGGCUUCAACUUUGUGAGCAAUAUUCCGACAUCAAUUCCCUUCGGGGGCGUAGGUUCGAAUCCUGCCAAGUACG